rnacentral:rRNA from 1 species
GACGAACGCUGGCGGCGUGCCUAAUACAUGCCAGUAGAACGCUGAAGGAGGAGCUUGCUUCUCUGGAUGAGUUGCGAACGGGUGAGUAACGCGUAGGUAACCUGCCUGGUAGCGGGGGAUAACUAUCGGAAACGAUAGCUAAUACCGCAUAACAGUAGAUAUCGCAUGAUAUCUACUUGAAAGGUGCAAUUGCAUCACUACCAGAUGGACCUGCGUUGUAUUAGCUAGUUGGUGAGGUAACGGCUCACCAAGGCGACGAUACAUAGCCGACCUGAGAGGGUGAUCGGCCACACUGGGACUGAGACACGGCCCAGACUCCUACGGGAGGCAGCAGUAGGGAAUCUUCGGCAAUGGACGGAAGUCUGACCGAGCAACGCCGCGUGAGUGAAGAAGGUUUUCGGAUCGUAAAGCUCUGUUGUAAGAGAAGAACGAGUGUGAGAGUGGAAAGUUCACACUGUGACGGUAUCUUACCAGAAAGGGACGGCUAACUACGU